rnacentral:lncRNA from 1 species
UUGCGAAUAUGGUCAAGUUUCCUUCUUCAACAAAGUAGAACUUUUGAAUGUCUUCAAAAUAAUGGGAAUAUACAAAUCCACAUGCCUUUUGCUAGUGGGAAGAUGCUUUAGAUUUUUUACCCACUUAAAUAUGUUGUUUAAUUUAUCUAAUUUAUGUUGAUUGUGGUUUGCUUUAUGACAUUUCCACUUUUAAGGGGAAAAAUCCAAUCCAGCAAACAAUUUUUCAUGGAACCACUGUUGACAUUUUUCAGUAUCAUUCAUCUCUCCAACGAACAUGUAUCUGUAGUACUCUAAUUUCAAUUUUGUUUAUUUGCAUUUGUGCCUCAACUUGGA